rnacentral:rRNA from 1 species
GCGAUUUAGUGAGCGCCUCGGAUUGGACCCGGAACGGUUGGCAACGACCGUACCGCUGUGUGCCGAAAAGACGCGCAAACUUGAUCGCCUAGAGGAAGUAAAAGUCGUAACAAGGUUUCCGUAGGUGAACCUGCGGAAGGAUCAUUA